UUCGCCCUUAGAGUUUGAUCCUGGCUCAGAUUGAACGCUGGCGGCGUGCCUAACACAUGCAAGUCGAACGCGAAAGUUUCUUCGGAAAUGAGUAGAGUGGCGCACGGGUGAGUAACGCGUGGAUUAUCUACCUAUUGGUACGGGACAACAGUUGGAAACGACUGCUAAUACCGUAUAAGCUGGUAACGGGAAAGGGGGCCUCUUCCUGAAAGCUCUCGCCAGUAGAUGAGUCCGCGUUUCAUUAGCUAGACGGUGGGGUAACGGCCUACCGUGGCAACGAUGAAUAGCAGGCCUGAGAGGGUGGCCUGCCACACUGGGACUGGAACACGGCCCAGACUCCUACGGGAGGCGGCAGUGGGGAAUAUUGCGCAAUGGACGAAAGUCUGACGCAGCGACGCCGCGUGGAGGAUGAAGGUUUUCGGAUCGUAAACUCCUGUCAAGAGGGAAGAAACCUGUUGAAACUAAUACUUUCAGCAAUUGACGGUACCUCUAGAGGAAGCACCGGCUAAUUCAGUGCCAGCAGCCGCGGUAAUACUGAAGGUGCAAGCGUUAAUCGGAAUCACUGGGCGUAAAGCGCUCGUAGGUGGCUUUGUAAGUCAGGUGUG
rnacentral:rRNA from 1 species